AUUGAACGCUGGCGGCAUGCUUUACACAUGCAAGUCGCACGGGGUGGUGGGGCAACCUGCCAUUCAGUGGCGAACGGGUGAGGAAUGCAUCGGAACGUACCCUGGAGUGGGGGAUAACGCCGCGAAAGCGGCGCUAAUACCGCAUAUGCUCUGCGGAGGAAAGCGGGGGCUCGCAAGACCGCGUGCUCUGGGCGCGGCCGAUGUCCGAUUAGCUAGUUGGUGGGGUAAGGGCUUACCAAGGCGACGAUCGGUAGCUGGUCUGAGAGGAUGAUCAGCCACACUGGGACUGAGACACGGCCCAGACUCCUACGGGAGGCAGCAGUGGGGAAUUUUGGACAAUGGGGGCAACCCUGAUCCAGCCAUGCCGCGUGCGGGAAGAAGGCCUUCGGGUUGUAAACUGCUUUUGUACGGAACGAAACGGCCUGCUCUAAUACAGCGGGCUAAUGACGGUACCGUAAGAAUAAGCACCGGCUAACUACGUGCCAGCCGCCGCAGUAAUAC
rnacentral:rRNA from 1 species